ensembl:lncRNA
CAAAUUCACAAAAAGUUUACUUUUAGUGGUAACACAGCUUGUCAGUGGGAUAUUUACUCUCAAAUCACUGUUACCUGACAGUGAAAAUUAUAAAUAGUCUACAAAUCACUCAUGGGGAAAUGGCAAAUAGACAGAGCUCUGCUAAUGGUAACUUGUUAAAGAAAAAAAAAUCUACAGAUGCAUUUAAAAUCUACUGUAUAAAGAAUAAUUAAUAUUAUGCAACAGGGACACGUUACAUCCACAUAACUAUUAAUUAAUAAUAAUAAUAUAUCUCUGUAAAUGUGUCACAGGCGGGAAAAGGUCUGCGGUUUUUAGUGAACAUAACCGGCCAAAAAAAUUCUUAAAACGGUUAGGCCUAAGUCAGUAUUCACGCGGCAGCCCAAUUUUACACCAAAAAAAGAAACGUCAUUUCACAAAUUACACACAGAGACAUUUAAGUGUGUCUGGAAAUAGAUUUUUCUCAAAGUUUGAGCCGCAAUAUCAUGCUUAGGCCUAUUGUAAACUAACAGCGCCAGUCUGUAAAGCAUUGGCUAGGUUUGGAAGUUGGGUGAUUUGAACUUAAACGCAUUUAUACCUUGUCCAUCCAUAUAAAAAAUAAAACAUUUAACAGACAAUAAAGCAAAAUUUACAGGCGCAUUAUAGAUGAACUUACCAGCGUACUCCUGUGGCCUUACGACUCUUCCCCCCUCCUCGUCUGCUUCAUGUCCGCCUGCCUGCUACUGGCCCUGCGGGAGGAAAAUGGGAAAUUCAGAUGUUCUUACAGAAAGUUAGUAACACAAACGUGUUUAUAACUCGAAAAUACUCGAAGGCAGCUAAGCACAAUUUAAAUAUAUAUUUUACCAUUAUUCUACCUACCAGCGUACUUUCACGACGACUCUCUUCCCGCCUGCUUUACCGCCUGUCUGGCUGCUUGUGCUGCUGGCCCGCUGCCAGAGUAAAACGGUGGUUCUGCAAAUGACUCUGGCCUGCAGUCAGUCCUGCGUCUUCAGCAAAUACGACAAAAAGUUCCCGCCUUGUGUUAUAUUGGCCAAUCGGUGCUGUUGUCAAGGCAGAAUUUCAAGCGCGACCAAUAAUUUUUAAACAGAGACGUAGCGAAUAAUUUAAAUAAAUGGAAAUUCUGAGUUUAUAACACUUAAAAUCUUAAUUCAAAAGAUUUUUACUGCCAGUGAGUAAGUUAAACACAUCUGUUUAAGUUUUGAUGGCAAAAGUGUGUGUUAUAAGUAAUGUGAAGUUAUGUUAACUUGGUUUCUUUAUUAACGACAACAUUAGGGUUUACAGUGUGACAUCACUUACAAGGAGCGCAAAUUAACUGAAUCUAGCACUAGUUCAAGCGUGUUUUUAUCUUUCAUGGUAAACAAAUAUUGAUAAAAAUUGUUCUGUGGUUUCAGGAGUGAUGAUAUAAUCUCUCUACAACAGAAGAGAAGCUCCAAAAUUUCAAAGUUUCUGAAGGGAGCUGCUGACAGAAAUGCAGGAAACACAGAUGGGAUGAGAAAGCUCUUUAAAUACAUUCAUAUGCAUUUUCUCACAACACAUUUUCUUAUAUUACCAUGCAUCCAUUAUAUUACAGUAAUUUAUAAAGGUUUUAACAUUAAAAGAAGUGUGACACAAACCUAAAAACAUUAAUGUUAAUGCUGUUAUUUUAAG